rnacentral:rRNA from 1 species
GCAAAACGCGAAGAACCUUACCAAGGCUUGACAUCCCCUUGACCGGCACAGAGAUGUGCCCUCUCCUUCGGGAGCAAGGGUGACAGGUGGUGCAUGGUUGUCGUCAGCUCGUGUCGUGAGAUGUUGGGUUAAGUCCCGCAACGAGCGCAACCCUUAUCCUUAGUUGCCAGCAGGUGAAGCUGGGCACCCUAAGGAGACUGCCGAUGAUAAAUCGGAGGAAGGUGGGGAUGACGUCAAAUCAUCAUGCCCCUUAUGUCUUGGGCUACACACGUGCUACAAUGGUCGGUACAAAGGGGAGCGAAGGAGUGAUCUGGAGCAAAUCCCAAUAAACCGAUCUCAGUUCGGAUUGUAGGCUGCAACUCGCCUACAUGAAGUCGGAGUUGCUAGUAAUCGCGAAUCAGAACGUCGCGGUGAAUGCGUUCCCGGGUCUUGUACACACCG